rnacentral:piRNA from 2 species
GAGGAAGCCAAGAUCUAGAAGGUGUUCCA